UACGAAGGGGGCGAGCGUUGUUCGGAUUUACUGGGCGUAAAGGGCGCGCAGGCGGCUCAUUUUGUCAGGCGUGAAAGCCCCGGGCUUAACCUGGGAACUGCGUUUGAUACGGAUGGGCUAGAGUUCGGGAGAGGAGAGUGGAAUUCCCAGUGUAGAGGUGAAAUUCGUAGAUAUUGGGAAGAACACCGGUGGCGAAGGCGGGUCUCUGGGCAGUAACUGACGCUGAGGAGCGAAAGCGUGGGGAGCGAACAGG
rnacentral:rRNA from 1 species